UGAAGAGAGACCUCAAGAGGAGCCAGC
rnacentral:piRNA from 1 species